rnacentral:lncRNA from 1 species
UGCUGAGCGACAAAGAGGGGCGUGAGGGGCCCCCCAGCUGUGUGUGGCUGCCCAGGCUCAUGCAACAGGAGGGCAACCUGCUGAGCUCCACGAGACAGGGCUGGGGACUCGUGGGUGCAGCUGGCACCCUAGUCCUGCCUGACCCCCCAAGGCCAAGGGGGUACGUGGAAGGGGUUACAGAAGCAAGCAGAUGAGGCGCAGCCCAGCCCCCCCGGCACCUUGGACAUCAGUGUCCAGCAGACACUUGACCUUGUCCCCGUGCUGGAAGGGCUGGCUGUCAGCACUCACCCUGCGCUGCAGCUCCGCCGGCUUGCC